rnacentral:lncRNA from 1 species
GACACUGGCUGACAAUGAAGAGGAACGUAAGGCUUUCAUGGAAGCUGGACUUAACCAUUGCUUGGCAAAGCCCUUAAGCAAAGCCAAGAUCCUCCCUCUCAUCAACAAUCUCAUGGAUGCUUGAUGGAUGGAUGAAUUGUCGCCACUACAUAUCUACAUUAUAUAAAUAUGAAAAACACAUAAUAACGUCAGCUUAUACACCUGUGUGUGUAUGCAUAUAUCUAUCUGCAUGUGUGUGUUUUAGGGUUGUUAUGUUUGAUUUUUAUCGUGCGUGGCGUGAUAUACAAUCAUGUAAGUCAUUACUUUUGGCUUAUAAAAUAAUGAAUAAGAUUUCUUAUGAUCAGAUGCAUUCGAUUUCCAUUUCAAUUAACUAGAUCUACUUGGUACAUUCAAUUUGCAAUCUGCUAAAAAUCCAUACCUAUAUUUAACUGAUCCGGAUUAUAGAUUACAACCGUAGAUUUUGAGGAACGUCUUCGUAGUUUAUCUCCAUUUUUUUUUUUUCCUUUCUCUUUUUCUCUAGUUAGAUUUUAUCCAUUCCAGACAAAACUACAGAUGUAUAACUUACAGAAAAUAUCAGACAUAACUUAACUACAUCUCAAUAUCUCUUUACUUGUGGUUAUUUGUUUUCACAUGCUUUUGGUUUAAGCCUUCUAGCUUUAGAGACUAACAAGGAAUGUUAAUUAGGAUUUUUGAUAAGAGUGAAAUUCACUUGGGGAAAGUCAACUUGUUAGAAAACUAACUAGUUUGUUAUUGUAUCUCUAUCAGCGUGUUAAUUAUUACUCUUUGUGGGUUGCUAGUUGCUACAAGUUAAAUUUGAUUUCAGCUUUCCAACUCGGAUUUAUUCCCGAUUUAAACUCAGUCUAACCGUCACUCCGGUCCAAUUUAAGAACAUUGGACACAACUAAACUUCCACUCACAAGUUUCCAAAGUUCAACUCUUCUUUUCACACAGCCAGAUUGGUAUGAUCGAAUCAUGGAAUCGUAUACGUGAACCUACUCAAAUACCUCACUUUAAUACAAGAAGAAGUUCAAAAUCUUUUAAUAACCACAACCCGGUUUAGGAAACCAAUCAAAAACAUCCCGGUUUAUCUUACCUAGACCGUAAUUCAUUAAAUAGCCCAUGGGCCUUUAAAAUCAUCAUAGUUAAGCCCAUUAUAAUUUCGACAUAUAUAAACAAAAAAAAAAAAAAAAUACACAUGCAUUAGAACACUUGUAUGUUAAUUUCCAUAAUGUUUUGUUUAAACAUUCUUCGUUUUAAUUAGAUUCUUUUUGUGUGAAGAUUGUUCGAAGAAGAAAAAACCGAAGAUGGCAACAACAUCCACGGGAGAUAUCGAGAAAACGAAGUCAGUAGAAGUGAAGAAGAAACUUAACGUGUUGAUCGUCGAUGAUGAUCCUGUAAUUCGUAAACUUCACGAGAUUAUCAUCAAAUCAAUCGGUGGAAUUUCACAGACAGCUAAGAACGGUGAGGAGGCAGUGAACAUCCACCGCGACGGCAAUGCAUCUUUCGACCUUAUCCUAAUGGAUAAAGAAAUGCCCGAGAGGGAUGGACUUUCGGUACAAUUAAAUAAUAAUCUUUAAUUUAAUUUGUGUCGAUCAUCACUACACUUAUUAAGCUCCUCUUUAAAAUACUUUUUUAUGUCCUUUUGUUGGUUUUGUUUAGGCAACUAAGAAGCUAAGAGAAAUGAAAGUGACGUCUAUGAUUAUUGGGGUGACGACACUGGCUGACAAUGAAGAGGAACGUAAGGCUUUCAUGGAAGCUGGACUUAACCAUUGCUUGGCAAAGCCCUUAAGCAAAGCCAAGAUCCUCCCUCUCAUCAACAAUCUCAUGGAUGCUUGAUGGAUGGAUGAAUUGUCGCCACUACAUAUCUACAUUAUAUAAAUAUGAAAAACACAUAAUAACGUCAGCUUAUACACCUGUGUGUGUAUGCAUAUAUCUAUCUGCAUGUGUGUGUUUUAGGGUUGUUAUGUUUGAUUUUUAUCGUGCGUGGCGUGAUAUACAAUCAUGUAAGUCAUUACUUUUGGCUUAUAAAAUAAUGAAUAAGAUUUCUU